rnacentral:rRNA from 1 species
AUUGAACGCUGGCGGCAGGCCUAACACAUGCAAGUCGAACGGUAACAGGAAGAGGCUUGCUUCUUUGCUGACGAGUGGCGGACGGGUGAGUAAUGUCCGGGAGACUGCCUUAUGGAGGGGGAUAACUCCUGGAAAAGGUAGCUCUUACCGCAUAUCGUCGCAAGACCAGAGAGGGGGACCUUUUGGCCCCUUGCCCUUGUAAGUGCCCCGAUGGGGUUAUCUAGUAGGGGGGGUAAAGGCUCACCCAGGCGACGCUCCCCAGCUGGUCUGAGAGGAUGACCAGCCACACUGGAACUGAGACACGGUCCAGACUCCUACGGGAGGCAGCAGUGGGGAAUAUUGGACAAUGGGCGCAAGCCUGAUCCAGCCAUGCCGCGUGGAUGAAGAAGGCCUUCGGGUUGUAAAGCACUUUCAUUGGGGAAGAAAGGAGUAAAGUUAAUACCUCGCUUUAUUGACGGUACCCGCAGAAGAAGCACCGGCUAACUCCGUG